rnacentral:rRNA from 2 species
GUUAAGCGACUAAGCGUACACGGUGGAUGCCCUGGCAGUCAGAGGCGAUGAAGGGCGUGCUAAUCUGCGAUAAGCGCCGGUAAGGUGAUAUGAACCGUUAUAACCGGCGAUACCCGAAUGGGGAAACCCAGUGUGACUCGUCACACUAUCAUUAACUGAAUCCAUAGGUUAAUGAGGCGAACCGGGGGAACUGAAACAUCUAAGUACCCCGAGGAAAAGAAAUCAACCGAGAUUCCCCCAGUAGCGGCGAGCGAACGGGGAGGAGCCCAGAGCCUGAAUCAGCAUGUGUGUUAGUGGAAGCGUCUGGAAAGGCGCGCGAUACAGGGUGACAGCCCCGUACACAAAAGCGCAUGUGCUGUG